CUUCGAAGUCCCUUGGGGACUUAAUUAAAGGUAGUUUGCUAAAAUUUAGAAAGUUGUUAUUUAAAACUUUACAAUCACCAUUUAUAAUGCCAAAGCUAACAAUUCCGGAAAGAACAUUCAUUGACAUUGUUGAAAAGUAUUUCGAAACAAAAAGCGUUGUUGCAGUGUUAAGACAAUUCCAAAUAGCUUUUCCAGGACGUAAUCUUCAUCGAGCGUUUGACGUAAUGUCAACAAAUACCGGCUGCAUGCAUUGAAUGGAAGAACCACCUCAUAAAAUUUAAAUCGAAAUCAAAAGGAAACUCGGGAAGAAGAAGAGUUGUCUCGGAUAUGAGACAAAGAACGAACUUGUGUGAACUUAGAAAUGGAGGCCACGUUGAGUAAAUAUGUACUUCCAACUUAUUUUUUGGAACGUUUAAAUAAAUUGUGAAUUCAACACAUCUACGUUUUUUAACUUUGCAAUUGCACCUACUUAAAUUGACACAGCUCGCCAGCAAUAACUCCAAAUUUUAAAAAUUAAAGUAUAUAAAAUAUAGCCGAAAGAUCGCGAUUUUGAAAGAAUGCAAGUAUAAACGUCUAACUUUCAUAUUCGCUUUGAAAUUUACACUUCAUGUGCGGACUCCGUUUUUUUUAUAUACACCCUGUAUAUGUCUUAGGCAUUCUUGCGAAGCCAAAUUUCAAAGUUUAUGAGUCUAAAUAAGCAAUAACCCAUCAUCCCUUGCGCGCUCAGAGUUUAAGUUUUUGGAAGGACAACCUUAGUUGAAUUAGCUGUAUACGUAUAGAUUUGCAAUUGCGUGGGAAAACCGAAUGACGGGCAACCUCUAUACCAGGUGCGUAGGUGCUCUUUUCUUUCAUUUCUUGAUUCAUUUAACAUAGGCGAGUUGGAUGAGUCACGUGAUCAGUUAAAAUUAAAACAAAAUACGGAUGAUGAAAGGAAAAUUAAUAUCCUUCUUUAGAAAAAAAAAUAGAAGUUAACAUGGGAUAUUAAGAAGAUUUGUCAGCG